AAGCGAUGAAGAGUUCUUAAUUUGUGUUACGGAGAUGGAUUAUUUCCAUUGAUGAUGGAAACACAACCCUCUAAGAAGUUCUGAGCGA